UACGUAGGGGGCUAGCGUUGUCCGGAAUCAUUGGGCGUAAAGAGCGUGUAGGCGGUCCGGUAAGUCCGCUGUGAAAGUCGGGGGCUCAACCCUCGAAUGCCGGUGGAUACUGUCGGGCUAGAGUACGGAAGAGGCGAGUGGAAUUCCUGGUGUAGCGGUGAAAUGCGCAGAUAUCAAGGAGGAACACCAGUGGCGAAGGCGGCUCACUGGCUCGGUACUGACGCUGAGGUGCGAAAGCGUGGGGAGCAACAGG
rnacentral:rRNA from 1 species